rnacentral:rRNA from 1 species
UACGUAGGGUGCGAGCGUUGUCCGGAAUUACUGGGCGUAAAGAGCUCGUAGGUGGUUUGUCGCGUUGUUCGUGAAAACUCACAGCUCAACUGUGGGCGUGCGGGCGAUACGGGGCAGACUAGAGUACUGCAGGGGAGACUGGAAUUCCUGGUGUAGCGGUGGAAUGCGCAGAUAUCAGGAGGAACACCGGUGGCGAAGGCGGGUCUCUGGGCAGUAACUGACGCUGAGGAGCGAAAAGCGUGGGGGAGCGAACAGG